GACGAACGCUGGCGGCAUGCCUAACACAUGCAAGUCGAACGAGACCUUCGGGUCUAGUGGCGCACGGGUGCGUAACGCGUGGGAACCUGCCCUUAGGUUCGGAAUAACUCCCCGAAAGGGGUGCUAAUACCGGAUAAUGUCUUCGGACCAAAGAUUUAUCGCCUUUGGAUGGGCCCGCGUUGGAUUAGCUAGUUGGUAGGGUAAAAGCCUACCAAGGCGACGAUCCAUAGCUGGUCUGAGAGGAUGAUCAGCCACACUGGGACUGAGACACGGCCCAGACCCCUACGGGAGGCAGCAGUGGGGAAUAUUGGACAAUGGGCGAAAGCCUGAUCCAGCAAUGCCGCGUGAGUGAUGAAGGCCUUAGGGUUGUAAAGCUCUUUUACCCGGGAUGAUAAUGACAGUACCGGGAGAAUAAGCUCCGGCUAACUCCGUG
rnacentral:rRNA from 1 species